CAGUAGCCGCGGUAAUACGAAGGGGGCUAGCGUUGCUCGGAAUUACUGGGCGUAAAGGGCGCGUAGGCGGCCAUUCAAGUUAGAUGUGAAAGCCCUGGGCUCAACCUAGGAAUUGCAUUUGAUACUGUUUGGCUUGAGUUCGGGAGAGGUGAGUGGAAUUCCCAGUGUAGAGGUGAAAUUCGUAGAUAUUGGGAAGAACACCAGUGGCGAAGGCGGCUCACUGGACCGACACUGACGCUGAGGCGCGAAAGCGUGGGGAGCAAACAGGAUUAGAUACCCGGGUAGUCCCUGUCUCUUAUAC
rnacentral:rRNA from 1 species